GACGAACGCUGGCGGCGUGCUUAACACAUGCAAGUCGAACGGAAAGGCCCUGCUUUUGUGGGGUGCUCGAGUGGCGAACGGGUGAGUAACACGUGAGUAACCUGCCCUUGACUGUGGGAUAAUUUAAGGAAACUGGGGCUAAUACCGGAUAGGAGCUCCUGUUGCAUGGUGGGGGUUGGAAAGUUUCGGCGGUUGGGGAUGGACUCGCGGCGGAUCAGCUUGUUGGUGGGGUAGUGGCUUACCAAGGCUUUGACGGGUAGCCGGCCUGAGAGGGUGACCGGCCACAUUGGGACUGAGAUACGUCCCAGACUCCUACGGGAGGCAGCAGUGGGGAAUAUUGCACAAUGGGCGGAAGCCUGAUGCAGCAACGCCGCGUGCGGGAUGACGGCCUUCGGGUUGUAAACCGCUUUCGCCUGUGACGAAGCGUGAGUGACGGUAAUGGGUAAAUAAGCACCGGCUAACUACGUG
rnacentral:rRNA from 1 species